rnacentral:rRNA from 1 species
GACGAACGCUGGCGGCGUGCCUAAUACAUGCAAGUCGAACGAGAGCGACCGGUGCUUGCACUGGUCAAUCUAGUGGCGAACGGGUGAGUAACACGUGGGUAACCUGCCCAUCAGAGGGGGAUAACAUCCGGAAACGGAUGCUAAAACCGCAUAGGUCUUCGAACCGCAUGGUUUGAAGAGGAAAAGAGGCGCAAGCUUCUGCUGAUGGAUGGACCCGCGGUGCAUUAGCUAGUUGGUGAGGUAACGGCUCACCAAGGCCGUGAUGCAUAGCCGACCUGAGAGGGUGAUCGGCCACAUUGGGACUGAGACACGGCCCAAACUCCUACGGGAGGCAGCAGUAGGGAAUCUUCCGCAAUGGACGCAAGUUUGACGGAGCAACGCCGCGUGAGUGAAGAAGGUUUUCGGAUCGUAAAACUCUGUUGUUAGAGAAGAACAAGUGCUAGAGUAACUGUUAGCGCCUUGACGGUAUCUAACCAGAAAGCCACGGCUAACUACGUG